UCCCUCAUGGCUCAGCUGGUAAAGAAUCCACCUGCAAUGUGGGAGACCUGGGUUUGAUCCCUGGUUUGGGAA
rnacentral:tRNA from 1 species